GUUUGAUCAUGGCUCAGAUUGAACGCUGGCGGAAUGCUUUACACAUGCAAGUCGAACGGCAGCACGGGGGCAACCCUGGUGGCGAGUGGCGAACGGGUGAGUAAUACAUCGGAACGUGCCCAGUCGUGGGGGAUAACGUAGCGAAAGCUACGCUAAUACCGCAUACGAUCUACGGAUGAAAGCGGGGGAUCGCAAGACCUCGCGCGAUUGGAGCGGCCGAUGGCAGAUUAGGUAGUUGGUGGGGUAAAGGCUCACCAAGCCUUCGAUCUGUAGCUGGUCUGAGAGGACGACCAGCCACACUGGGACUGAGACACGGCCCAGACUCCUACGGGAGGCAGCAGUGGGGAAUUUUGGACAAUGGGCGAAAGCCUGAUCCAGCCAUUCCGCGUGCAGGAUGAAGGCCCUCGGGUUGUAAACUGCUUUUGUACGGAACGAAACGGCCUUUUUCUAAUACAGAGGGCUAAUGACGGUACCGUAAGAAUAAGCACCGGCUAACUACGUG
rnacentral:rRNA from 1 species